rnacentral:rRNA from 1 species
UUGGAAAGAUUUAUCGGUUUUGGAUGGACUCGCGGCCUAUCAGCUUGUUGGUGAGGUAAUGGCUCACCAAGCCAACGACGAGUAGCCGGCCUGAAGGGUGAACGCCCAACUGGACUGGAACCGCCCAGAUCCUACGGAGGCAGCAGUGGGGAAUAUGCCAAUGGGCGCAAGCCUGAUGCAGCGACGCCGCGUGAGGAUGACCGCUUCGGUGUAACCUCUUUCAGUAGGGAAGAAGCGAAAGUGACGGUACCUGCAGAAGAAGCACCGGCUAACUACGUGCCAGCAGCCGCGGUAAUACGUAGGGUGCGAGCGUAUCCGGAAAUAUUGGGCGUAAAGAGCUCGUAGGCGGUUUGUCGCGUCUGUCGUGAAAGUCCGGGGCUUAACCCCGGAUCUGCGGUGGGUACGGGCAGACUAGAGUGCAGUAGGGGAGACUGGAAUUCCUGGUGUAGCGGUGGAAUGCGCAGAUAUCAGGAGGAACACCGAUGGCGAAGGCAGGUCUCUGGGCUGUAACUGACGCUGAGGAGCGAAAGCAUGGGGAGCGAACAGGAUUAGAUACCCUGGUAGUCCAUGCCGUAAACGUUGGGCACUAGGUGUGGGGACCAUUCCACGGUUUCCGCGCCGCAGCUAACGCAUUAAGUGCCCCGCCUGGGGAGUACGGCCGCAAGGCUAAAACUCAAAGGAAUUGACGGGGGCCCGCACAAGCGGCGGAGCAUGCGGAUUAAUUCGAUGCAACGCGAAGAACCUUACCAAGGCUUGACAUGUUCUCGAUCGCCGUAGAGAUACGGUUUCCCCUUUGGGGCGGGUUCACAGUGGUGCAUGAUGUCGUCAGCUCGUGUCGUGAGAUGUUGGUUAAGUCCCGCAACGAGCGCACCCUCGUUCAAUGUGCCAGCACGUCGUGUGGGACUCAUGGAAGACUGCAGGUCAACUCGGAGGAAGGUGAGACGACGUCAAAUCAUCAUGCCCUUAUGUCUUGGACUCAGCAUGCUACAUGCCGGUACAUGUUGCGAUACACUGAGGUAAAGCGAAACCAAAAAAGCCGGUCUCAGUUCGGAUUGGGGUCUGCAACUCGACCCCAUGAAGUCGGAGUCGCUAGUAAUCGCAGAUCAGCAACGCUGCGGUGAAUACGUUCCCGGGCCUUGUACACACCGCCCGUCAAGUCACGAAAGUUGGUAACACCCGAAGCCGGUGGCCUAACCCUUGUGGGGGGAGCCGUCGAAGGUGGGACCAGCGAUGGACUAAGUCGAACAAGAGCUUCCAGGG